GCCACCCUGCCUGGCCUGUGUGUAGGUUUAUAUUUAUUUAUUUAUUUAUUUUAUGAGACAGAGUUUCACUCUUGUUGCCCAGGCUGGAGUGCAAUGGCACAAUCUCGGCUCACCGCAACCUCUGCCUCCUGGGUUCAAGCAAUUCUCCUGCAUCAGCCCCUUGAGUAGCUGGUAUUACAGGCAUGUGCCACCACGCCUGGCUAAUUUUGUAUUUUUAGCAGAGAUAGGGUUUCUCCAUGUUGGUCAGGCUGGUCUUGAACUCCCGACCUCAGGUGAUCCAUCCGCCUCAGCCUCCCAAAGUGCUGAGAUUACAGGCGUGAGCCACCGUACCCGGCCUGUGUGCAGAUUUUUAUAUGGAAGUUUCCAACCCAUUUGGGUAAAUACCAAGGAGUGUGAUGCCUGGAUCCUAUGGUCUUCUGCUAGAUUCCCCAUCCCAGACGGAGUUUGUGCCGUUCGGAGCCUGGUCCGCUGCCAACACACUCACUGACCUCAGUUUGUCCUGAUGCCAUCCCUCACUGUUCCAGGGCUUAAGACCUUGCUGAUACUCUUCAAUGUGUGACUUGGAAAGCUUCCAUUUCCAGGUUCAGUCCUCUCCACCUUGAUGGCCCCCUGCCUGGGCCUCUGCUCCACAUUCCUUGGAAGACUCCUGUGUGCUGCCUGAUGCCAGAGCCCACACAGGAACUGAGGACCACUCCCACCUGACCCCUUCCUUCCCACUGGUUUUCAAGCCUGGAAUCCCUAAUCCAUUGCAUUGCAUCUAGGCUUACUUGCACCUUGUUCAAGGUCCAUGAUCUUCUAUGGAGCCUCCUCUGAUGAGCAUGCAGGGGAUUUAAGUUCUAUCUCAUUGUAUUAGCCCAUUCUCACUCUGCUAAUAAAGACAUAUCUGAGACUGGGUAAUCUCUAAAGGAAAGAGGUUUAAUUGACUCACAGUUCCACAUGGCUCAGGAGGCCUCAGGAAACUUACAGUCAUGGCAUAAGGGGAAGCAAAUAUGUCCUUCUUCACAUGGUGGCAGCAAGAAGUGCCAAGCAAAAGGAGGAAAAACCCCUUAUAAAACCAUCAGAUCUUGUGAGAACUCACUAUCAGGAGAACAACAUGAGGCUAACCGCCCCCAUGAUUCAAUUACCUCCCACCAGGUCCCUCCCACAACACGUGGGGAUUAUGGGAACUACAAUUCAAGAUGAGAUUUGGAGGUGGGGAGGGAAACAGUCGAACCAUAUUACUCGUUCA
rnacentral:lncRNA from 10 species